UAGGGAAUCUUCCACAAUGGACGAAAGUCUGAUGGAGCAACGCCGCGUGUGUGAUGAAGGGUUUCGGCUCGUAAAACACUGUUGUAAGAGAAGAAUGACAUUGAGAGUAACUGUUCAAUGUGUGACGGUAUCUUACCAGAAAGGAACGGCUAAAUACGUGCCAC
rnacentral:rRNA from 1 species